rnacentral:rRNA from 1 species
GGGUGAGUAACGCGUGGAUAACCUGCCUCACACUGGGGGAUAACAGUUAGAAAUGGCUGCUAAUACCGCAUAAGCGCACAGUACCGCAUGGUACGGUGUGAAAAACUCCGGUGGUGUGAGAUGGAUCCGCGUCUGAUUAGUUAGUUGGCGGGGUAACGGCCCACCAAGACAGCGAUCAGUAGCCGACCUGAGAGGGUGACCGGCCACAUUGGGACUGAGACACGGCCCAAACUCC